GAUGAACGCUGGCGGCGUGCCUAAUACAUGCAAGUCGAGCGAACAGACGAGGAGCUUGCUCCUCUGACGCUACCGGCGGAGGGGUGAGUAACACGUGGAUAACCUACCUAUAAGACUUGGAUAACUUCGGGAAACCGGAGCUAAUACCGGUUAAGAUAUUUAAUCGCAUGGGUCAAUAGUGAAAGACGGAUUUGCUGUCACUUAUAGAUGGAUCCGCGUCGCAUUAGCUAGUUGGUAAGGUAACGGCUUACCAAGGCGACGAUGCGUAGCCGACCUGAGAGGGUGGUAGGCCACACUGGAUCUGAGACACGGUACAGACUACUACGGGAGGCAGCGGUGGAGAAUCUUCCGCUAUGGGCGGAAGCCUGACGGAACACCGCCGCGUGAGUGAUGAAGGUCUUCGGAUCGUAGUACUCUGUUAUUUGUGAAGAACAAAUGUGUAAGUGACGAUGCACGUCUUGACGGUACCUUAUCAGAAAGCCACGGCUAACUACGUG
rnacentral:rRNA from 1 species